rnacentral:rRNA from 1 species
CUGACCUCAAAUCAGGUAGGACUACCCGCUGAACUUAAGCAUAUCAAUAAGCGGAGGAAAAGAAACUAACAAGGAUUCCCCUAGUAACUGCGAGUGAAGCGGGAAAAGCUCAAAUUUAAAAUCUGGCGGUCUUUGGCCGUCCGAG